UGGUGUGUCUGCACUAUUGGUUAUAUCUUGGAGGUCAGUUUUUAUUGGUGUUUCUGCACUAUUGGUUAUAUCUUGGGGGUCAGUUUUUAUUGGUGUGUCUGCACUAUUGGUUAUAUCUAGGGGGUCAGUUUUUAUUGGUGUGUCUGCACUAUUGGUUAUAUCUUGGAGGUCAGUUUUUAUUGGUGUGUCUGCACUAUUGGUUAUAUCUUGGAGGUCAGUUUUUAUUGGUGUGUCUGCACUAUUGGUUAUAUCUUGGAGGUCAGUUUUUAUUGGUGUUUCUGCACUAUUGGUUAUAUCUUGGGGGUCAGUUUUUAUUGGUGUGUCUGCACUAUUGGUUAUAUCUUGGAGGUCAGUUUUUAUUGGCGUUUCUGCACUAUUGGUUA